CGUGUCGUGAGAUGUUGGGUUAAGUCCCGCAACGAGCGCAACCCCUAUCUUAUGUUGCCAGCACGUUAUGGUGGGGACUCGUAAGAGACUGCCGGGGUCAACUCGGAGGAAGGUGGGGACGACGUCAAGUCAUCAUGCCCCUUAUGUCCAGGGCUUCACACAUGCUACAAUGGCCAGUACAGAGGGCUGCGAGACCGUGAGGUGGAGCGAAUCCCUUAAAGCUGGUCUCAGUUCGGAUCGGGGUCUGCAACUCGACCCCGUGAAGUCGGAGUCGCUAGUAAUCGCAGAUCAGCAACGCUGCGGUGAAUACGUUCCCGGGCCUU
rnacentral:rRNA from 1 species